GACGAACGCUGGCGGCGUGCUUAACACAUGCAAGUCGAGCGGAAAGGCCCUUCGGGGUACUCGAGCGGCGAACGGGUGAGUAACACGUGAGUAAUCUGCCCUUGGCUUUGGGAUAACUACCGGAAACGGUGGCUAAUACCGGAUACGACGCACUCAGGCAUCUGAUGUGUGUGGAAAGUUUUUUCGGCCAGGGAUGUGCUCGCGGCCUAUCAGCUUGUUGGUGGGGUAAUGGCCUACCAAGGCUUCGACGGGUAGCCGGCCUGAGAGGGUGGCCGGCCACACUGGGACUGAGACACGGCCCAGACUCCUACGGGAGGCAGCAGUGGGGAAUAUUGGACAAUGGGCGGAAGCCUGAUCCAGCAACGCCGCGUGAGGGAUGACGGCCUCGGUUGGUAAACCUCUUUCAGUACCGACGAAGCGCCGAUGAUGGUGGUGACGGUAGGUACGAGAAGAAGACACCGG
rnacentral:rRNA from 1 species